rnacentral:rRNA from 1 species
GAUGAACGCUGGCGGCGUGCCUAAUACAUGCGAGUCGAGCGAACGGACGAGAAGCUUGCUUCUCUGAUGUUAGCGGCGGACGGGUGAGUAACACGUGGAUAACCUACCUAUAAGACUGGGAUAACUUCGGGAAACCGUAGCUAAUACCGGAUAAUAUUUUGAACCGCAUGGUUCAAAAGUGAAAGACGGUCUUGCUGUCACUUAUAGAUGGAUCCGCGCUGCAUUAGCUAGUUGGUAAGGUAACGGCUUACCAAGGCAACGAUGCAUAGCCGACCUGAGAGGGUGAUCGGCCACACUGGAACUGAGACACGGUCCAGACUCCUACGGGAGGCAGCAGUAGGGAAUCUUCCGCAAUGGGCGAAAGCCUGACGGAGCAACGCCGCGUGAGUGAUGAAGGUCUUCGGAUCGUAAAACUCUGUUAUUAGGGAGGAACAUAUGUGUAAGUAACUGUGCACAUCUUGACGGUACCUAAUCAGAAAGCCACGGCUAACUACGUG